UGAGGAAUAUUGGGCAAUGCCCGCAAGGGUGACCCAGCAACGCCGCGUGGAGGAUGAAUGUCGUAAGAUUGUAAACUCCUGUUAGAGGGGAAGAAUAGUACCGGUUGGACCGGUAUAUGACUGUACCCUCAGAGAAAGCCCCGGCUAACUACGUGCCAGCAGCCGCGGUAAUACGUAGGGGGCAAGCGUUGUCCGGAUUUACUGGGUGGAAAGGGCGCGCAGGCGGGAUAAAAAGUCAGUGGUGAAAUCCUACAGCUUAACUGUAGAACUGCCUUUGAUACUUUUAUUCUUGAGUUCGGGAGAGAGAGACGGAAUUCCAGGUGUAGUGGUGAAAUACGUAGAUAUCUGGAAGAACACCAGUUGCGAAGGCGGUCUCUUGGUCCGACACUGACGCUGAGGCGCGAAAGCGUGGGGAGCAAACA
rnacentral:rRNA from 1 species